rnacentral:rRNA from 1 species
AAAACCACUCAUAUCUCCCUGGAGCUCUCACCUAGUUUCCCACUGAAGCUAAGCAGGAUUGAGCUUGGCCAGUACCUGGAUAGAAGACCUCCUGGGGAAACUAAGGUUGCUGCUG